rnacentral:rRNA from 1 species
GACGAACGCUGGCGGCGCGCUUAACACAUGCAAGUCGAGCGAAGCGGCGGACGGGUGAGUAACACGUGAGUAACCUUCCUUAGACAUUGGGAUAGCCUCGGGAAACCGGGAUUAAUACCAAAUGGUCUACGAUGGACUCGCGUCCCAUUAGCUAGUUGGUGGGUAACGGCCCACCAAGGCCACGAUGGGUAGCCGGCGUGGGAGGGUGAACGGCGAAAUUGGAAAUGAGAAACGAUCCAAACUCUAAGGGAGGGAGCAGUGGGGAAUAUUGCAGAAUGGAGGUAACUCUGAUGCCGCGACGCAGAGUGAACGAAGAAGGCUUUCGAGUCGUAAAGUUCUUUUAUAUGGGAAGCGGUACCAUAAGAAAAAGCCCCGGAUAACUACGUGCCAGACGGCGAGGUAAUUC